CGAAGCAGCAGCAAACAGGCGGCCAUGCGAGCAAGCAAACCUGUCAGAAUAAACGUUCAAUUUGCGCGGCCACCCCAUGCCCAAUGAAAAGCGACCGGAAGUGACGGCCGACGCUGUACCAUCACUUCGGCGCGCGGCAGGACGGGAAGGCGGAAGCUGCGCCAUCAUGCUCGUUUUCGCGUGCGUUCGCGUCGCGCGCUGUGCGAAGUAAUUUUAAACGUGUGAUUAGUUUUGCGCGCGGGGUAGAAAAAGAUGUGGCCCAUGCUUUGUGUAUUACUCGUGCCCCACUUCAAAGCAAAGCGUUCGUACGCACUGGAAGAUGGAUCCACGAAGGCUGAAACGAGAAGUUGCAACGUGCCCGGUCGGUAGUACUGGCACGAUGGAAACUUUCAGGCAAGUGCCCGUUUAUUUGGUAUUUGUUUUGUUCGCUUUAGAAAUAUCUCACUGUGAUCUCGUAGCAUAAUUCAUAAUUCCCUAAUGCAAGAGCAGCUGCACUCCUACUAGGGCAAGUUAACUACCUCGAUCGCGUCCCGUGUGACUAAUGUUUGUCAAAUCUACAUCGGGCGUGGUGCGCCUGCAUAGUUACGCUUUGUUUCUCAGCGCUUGAACGUUCAUUGAUGUGAUUCUCUUGUGCGUUCAGCGCGGCUGCUUGUAAUACGGUCGUUCGCACUUCAGUUAAAUGUGGUCGACCACUUUUGCGUCGCGUAGAAAAAGGACUGGCCUAGCCACCUUUCGAAGGAACCGGCGCGGUAUUGGUUCUCCCUGAUGCGGUCGCGUGCUGCUGUUGCUGCUUGCCGGACGCUUUCAGCAUUUUUUCGGCUCGCUUUGUCUGUGCGUGUGCGCGUGCUCGCGCUCGGCUUGAUUUGUGUGUCCGUGCGUGUGUGCGCUCAGCUCAGCUCGCUUUGUGUGUGUGUGCGUGCGUGCGCUCGGCUCGCUGUGUGUGUAUGUGUGUGUGCGUGCGUGCGUGCGUGCGUGCGCGCGCGCGCGUUCAGUACAUGCCGGUUUGUAUGGGCCGGCGUGUUUGCGCGUGUCUAGUGCGUACGUGUUUUGUGAGUGUGUUGUCUGUGGGUCGCUGUGUGUGCGUGCACGUGUUAGCGUGUCUGCCUGCAUGCAUGUAUGUGUGCUUGUUUGUGUUCAUCAAUGUGCGCGUGCGCGCUUUUGUGUCUGCGCUUUGAGAGUGCGUAUACUUGUGUGUGCGUGUGGGUGCGUUUUGUGUGCGUGCGUGUGUAUUGCAUGAGGCCGGUAGAGUUUUACUCGCAAUAAAACUCUUCCGAUUUGGUGCAGCGAAUGUUCCCGCCUGAAAGCCGAGUUUGGUUUCAAGCCACCCUGGACAACUGCUGUAUGAGGCGCCGUUUCUCGGGAGGACCAGUGGGAAGGCGCCAGGUCAUGCAGAUGGUAGCAGCAAUUUCACAAUGCCCAGCGUUGGCGCCCCCCAUCAAGAGCAAGCCACUUGCGUUCGCCUUCAGACAGAUGGUUAAUGUCUUCUUGAAAGCGGUUGAGAAGACAACAUUGAUGCAAGAUUCCAGCAAUGCCAUGCGCUGCAUUUAUUGGUCAAGAUGCUCAGAGAAUGGAGUCCCUGCACCUCGUGGUUAACCGUGAACAUUUCUUUUUCUUUUGGAAAGGUAAAGGCCAUUUGCUGCAUCACUUGCAUUUUUGCAGCUCAGAUGUGUACUAUAUUUUUCUAAUUUUGAAUCAAUAUUGGCUGUUCAGUAUAAAAAAUGACGUACAGCGUGAAGGACAAGGACUGCGAGAGACACACUCCACUGACUUUCAACAAUAUUUUGUUGCGUUGCCACAUCGUGUCUGUAUACACAGAGGGGUCAUGCGCAGAAAAUGAAAGCCAGUCGCAAGGGGUGUUCUAACAGCAAGUCAUUGUAAAAAGAACAUGGUCACUUGAAAAAAAAAACAUCACAAUUUCUAUCUGUUUAGAUACAAAAUUUCACUAGGGGUCAGCGUGAUAGA